rnacentral:misc_RNA from 1 species
UUUCCGUAGGUGAACCUGCGGAAGGAUCAUUAUUGUAUAGCCGAGGUGCGAGGGCUGUCGCUGACCCGAAAGGUCGUGCACGCCCGAGUGCCCUCACACACAUCCAUCUCACCCCUAUGUGCACCACCGCGUGGGUCCCCCUUUGGCUUGUUCGGAGGGGGGCUUACGUUUUCACACAAACUUUGUAUGCAGUGUAGAAUGUAUUUUUUGUUUUUGCGAUCACGCAAUCAAUACAACUUUCAACAACGGAUCUCUUGGCUCUC